GAUGAACGCUAGCGGCAGGCUUAACACAUGCAAGUCGAGGGGUAGAAGCAGCUUGCUGCUUUGAGACCGGCGCACGGGUGCGUAACGCGUAUGCAAUCUACCUUUUACAGAGGGAUAGCCCAGAGAAAUUUGGAUUAAUACCGCAUAUGCCCUACGGGGUAAAGCCGCAAGGCGCUUUGGGAGGGGCAUGCUUCCUAUCAGGUAGUUGGUGAGGUAAUGGCUCACCAAGCCUAUGACGGGUAGCUGGUCUGAGAGGACGACCAGCCACAAUGGAACUGAGACACGGUCCAUACUCCUACGGGAGGCAGCAGUGAGGAAUCUUCCGCAAUGGGCGAAAGCCUGACGGAGCGACACCGCGUGGAGGAUGAAGCUUUUAUAGUGUAAACUCCUUUUCUGUGGAAGNUAAUGACGGUACCACAGGAAUAAGGGGCGGCAAACUACGUGCCAGCAGCCG
rnacentral:rRNA from 1 species